AACUUGAUGCACUCAUUUUAAUGCUGCAUCCAGCUCUGCAUUUUCACGCAUAACAAACACCCACUUGAAACAACCUUCAUGGCUCAGUUGGACAGCUAUUUACCCCAGCUGACAUUUAUUUUUCAACAAAAAGGGAGGUGUAUCUGGCCAAAAACUAGCCAAAUAUCUGGCGAUUUUGCAAGAGGCUACAAGUGACAUUAAUCUUGAAAAAGGGCAGCAGUCCUCAAAGCACUUUGCAUCUACUUUGGUGAGGAUGAUGGACAUCUCAUUCGGGAGUAUAAG
ensembl:processed_transcript